UAUGGGUAGUCUCGAGAAGUAAGGGAUUAUGGGUAGUCUCAAGGAGUUAAGAGGGCUCCAGCAAGAAGAGAAAGCACCUGAGCUUUAGCACCAAGGAACUAAAACCCCAGGGCACUGUGGGGGAAAUCAGAACUGGGUAUUUUCUGGUCAAGCUUCUAAAUGAGAAUCAUGCUUCAGCCACAAGGCCCUGACACACCAGAGGCUUGGCCACCACUCUGAGGUAAUAAAUCUGCCCUCAUGUGUUAAGUCUGUGGUCCUUUGUUAUGCCGAGGUAAAAUUCCAACAGAGAGCUUCAGCAGUAGCACGGAUUCAUUUUCAGACUAAAAGGAAGAGGCUGCUACCUGCCAGGAAGUCACAGGUGGCUUAUAGGACCGGAGCCAUAGGGAAACUUAGAACCAGGUGAAACUGGUUCCUCCAUGGGAACUGGCCUCACUCUGGUGCUGUUCUGAGGACUUCCAACUGCUGAAAAUCUUGUCUCUUGUGCUCCACGUGUGGUGAGGGCCACAGGACAGCCGUGAUAAUGACAGGAUGUCACAAGUAUCCCUUUGUGUUUGGGUCUCUUUACAGUUAUCAAAGCUGAUUCAUUUGUUGGCUUCUUUAAUUCUCCCGGAUCCCUAAGGGAAUUGUUAAUAUUUUCACAACGAAACAAAAUGAAAACAGAUCGUUGAGUGUUCUCUACGGCUACAUAGUUAUUAAAGGCUGUUGGAGAACCAGUCCUAAGGCUCCUGGCUCUCUCCAGAGAGAAGCAGAGGAGAGAAAGAGAAAAACAAAAACCAACCAACCAAACAGAAAAACAAUAGCUGUCUUCCUUGUGUCCUUUGGAGUGUCCCCGGCAGGAUCAAGUGUUGGGUACCAGGCCUUAGGUUGUGGUGCUGUUCUGAAGACUGUUAAGCCUGUAGGAGCCGAGAUGGAGGUGGUCCUAGAGAGAGAGCAGGUCUUCGAAAGCUAUACUUACACCCUUGGCGUCUCCUCCCCCUCUCUGCUUCCAGUCAGCCACCUCAUGAUCCAACUACCUGCAUUGGAUGGAGUCUCCCAAGUUUGGCUUCCCUACCGUGAGGGGUUCAAAUCCUCCUGAAUGAUGAUUCACAAUAAACCUCCUUUUAAAGGCUGUUAGGUACUUUGGUCACAGUGAUGCAAAAGUUUCACACAGUCACAAGAGGAUGCCUCAGAGGAGCUGGACUCACAGAGUAAUUCUGGCAUCAAGGAGAAUGGCUUCCUAGCAAACCCCGUUUGAGCUGAGCUCAACCAGGAACAGGCGAACCAUGCAGCUCUCUGAAUCCUUUCUGAGGGAAGGAUGGAGCUGUUACCCAAAGCCUCCACCGUAAGUCGUCCCUAGGGUACUCCCUCCUAUGCCUUUGUCCUUCUCUUCCUCUUCCUCUGCCUCCUCCUCUUCCUUCUCCCCUACUGACACCUACCUGUUCAUGCCUGCCGCUUCACCCCCAGUCUUUGCUCACUGAGUGACGACACCAUGCAGAGUUAUGAAUGGACAGUAGCAGUUUCAUAUUCCUGUCACCAAACCAGCAGAGUACAUUUCCUCACAGUUCCAAUGCAAAGGAGGCAUCCUAAUUAUGCAGUGUGGAUCUGAGCCUUUAAAAUCUACAUAGGUGAGCUGUCUGCUCCAGAAAACAGCCCAGCAUUCCACAGGGAGGUUCCGCAUCUAGGAUUAGCCCCUUUCUCCUCAAAAUAACUAUCAAGCCAGCCACACGCGUAAAUGCUGGAUGUUACUCCCCCUCGGAAGCGAGUAGUUUCUUUGUCUUACGGAGGGCCUCAGAUGGAAAGGGUCAUCAGAAAAGCCUAAGGUUUCUACAGAUUUUGUGAAACACCUGUGCUAGACACUUCUGGAAUCCACCAGUCACCAGCUCUCCUUCCUUCUCCACAAUGCUUCCAGACCUCUUGCAGACUUCAUGGCUGCCUGUGAGGAUAUUCAUCAUGGUCACCUUGUAAAGUCCAGGCUCUCUCCUGUCCCACCACAAUUGCCAAGAGGAACAUAAGUUCUAGGAGUUGCAGCCAUGGGUGAAGGCAGCCAUCCAUCCUGAGCCUGGGUUUUUGAUGACCACAUAGAGUGUGGUAGCCCCUUUCAGGGUCACUUACAUAGCUGAGGUGUUUUUAUUGCACCAAAUAUUAAGAUCAAAGGCUGAUGAGUUCUUGCUAUUAUGGAACUUUGCUUAUUAAAAAACUUCAUAUUAACUUAUUUUGCUGGUGGCUGAGUGAGUUCACUUGCAAAAGUUAGGGGACAAUUUGGGGGAGUCAGAUUUCUCCCUUCACCAUAUAGGUCACAGGGAUUGAACUCAGGUCAUCAAGCUUGGCAGCAAGCCCCUAUAUUGGCUAAGCCAUCUCACUGACCCCAAAUUCAUCACUGAAGUUCAUCCCUCCUUUCACUGCACUGAGCCUGUCUCCCCUUCAUCCUAGUGUGGACAUACAGGAAGCACUAGAGUAGAGAGAACAGCUUUGUCAGUUUUUGGGUGUGAAUGCCAUCGAGUUAGGUGGGGGUGGUGGGCGGGCUGGUUGACUUACCCCAGUGAAGAAGACCUCACUGCAAGGCAUUCACCCUAUUCACAGCCAGCGAUGGCUUGCACUAGGAGGGGCAUGGAGAACUGAACUGUGGAUCUUCUCAUUGUAGAGUCCCUACACAGGAGCAGCAAAAACUUAAGACCCUGGAAAACGGCAGCAGCCUGCCUUAGUGUUUAUUCCAGAACUCUCCACAGCCGUGUGUACACACUGGGCUUUUGCUCUCAGCUACCAAGGUGGGUUGAUGUGCAGAACAACCUUCGGCCAACAGUCGUGUUCUCCAAAGGUAACGGAAGCAGCGGGGCAAGUGUUUACAGUCUCUGUAGCCUCUGCUUCGGAGAAAGCUCUGAUGACCAGCUUCUCUUUCCAGUUCCUGUGCGUGGGAUGGCAGGCGCGGGAACCAGCAACCCAGCUCCAAGUAUGUAGAUAAGUGCAGUGCCCAUGGGUACAGCUGAACCGGGACCUGGCACUGUGUGACUCUGUGGAGCUCAAUGAGUAACUUACAGGACUUGGCUCUCUGCUUUGGCAACUUUCCAGGAAUUGGACACAUGUCCUCAAGCUUGGGGACAAGCCCCUUUACCCACUGAGCCCCAAACAUUGACACUUGCUGCCUCACACAUGGUGGGUGAAGAAUCACCACGAGGGCUUGCACGCCUGGAAAGGGGAGUUUAAGUGGGCACAUGAAACGUUCAACUUCAGUCUUCUGUUAGGAACUGUUCUCGUCUGGUUUGUAAGUCAUCUCAAGUCACUUUCCUGCAGUGAUGCAGUCAGAAGGUCUCAAACGGUGACACCCCUGGUGGCUCUAUCUUGGGACUGUGUUGCCUAGACAGUGAAAGUGGACCUCCGGGAUGGGUCUCGGAAGCUGUUCGGCCCCUCUGAUUCCCAUCUAAAUCAGCCUCCUGGUCAGCAAUGGAGCCUUACACCCCAGCUGACACAUCAGGACUUGCUCCAGCUGUCACACCAUCCCCACAGGAUGGACCCCGAACCCCUGAAACCAUCAGAUAAAAUAUCUGAGAUUUUAUCACAGCGGUGAGAAACAAUGAUCGUGCAGCUAACAACCAAUACAGAGGACAUUUAGACCAGAGAACCAUAGCCACGAGCCAACAUUUAUAACUGCUGCAUAACGCUGCCUGCACGCAGCAGAGGAAUGAAUGGGAGACCAGGCGUUCAAAGCCUAAUUGUGGGCUAGCAUGUGAAGUCUCCUCAAAGAGGCUCCUUUGCUUAAGCUCCCACCGAUAGCAAGGCUAAGCGUUGAGCCACUCAGCUGAGAAGUAUUUCUGUCAAUUAAGUCAAACAUCUGGUUAAUGUGGCGUUAAAAUCAGUCACCAGGGGCUGGCCACCGCCCCAGGCCUCCUCCCCAAGCCCCAGUAAUGGAGGAGAUACCUUCUUAUUCCCAGGCCCUGAUUUGCAUACCCUUCUCUGAUUGGUGGGUGAGUCUAGCCUUGUCCCCAGGCCCUCCGGUGAGCCCGGGAAAAGCCAAUCUGUGGGCUCUGAAUUGUCUGUCGGAAUGACAGCUGGAUGGAUUCCCAAACCGGGUGGCAGGUUCCUCAAAAGCACAAAUUGCCAUAAUAAAUGCUGAUUGUCCCAAUUACCUCUAAUUGUCUAGCUCUGUAGCAGGAGCAUUACCAGAGACGAGGUCUGCAUGGGAGAGGGUCUAUUUGGCAGAUAACCCCAUCCAGGGAGCUUCGGUGGCAGAGGAAGUGAGUGAGCUGGCCCACAGAACGUCCCUCUGAUAGAAAGGGCCCUGCAGUAGAUCAACCAGAAAGAUGAGGGGGCUUCAUAAGCCCCAGCUGCGGAGGGACAGCGUCCACACUGACAUCUUCAUGUGACAGUCGUUAAACGCUCUUGUUAAAACUGGCCAUGUGCUAAAGAGAUAAGGGCCGAGAAUAAAUGUCUGGUCUCCAUCCUUGUAGCCAGUUGGGUCUGUGGGAAAGCUAGGGGAGAGGGAUGGCUGCUGACUGAGAGAAUGAACGGAUUGUUUUCAUUGUAAUGUAGCAUUUACUUCAUCUAUUCAUUGCAUCAACUAGCCGAACUUUCCAGUAGGAGGCGCUGCAUGCGAAGCCCCUUAAAACACAGAAAUGUAGACAUUCCAAACAUAAAAACUCAUACAUAUUGUGUGUGUGUGUGUGUGUGUGUGUGUGUGUGUGUGUGUGUGUGUGUGUUAUUCAUUUAUUCCUGUGGUAAAUAAUUCCUAAAACCUGUAUCACAUGCCAGGCGGUGUUGAAGACUCCCAAAUGCAUCUGUGAAUAAAAUAGGCCACUAACCAUACAAAACUGGAGCCUCCUGACUACAGUAAGAGAAAGUUCAGCAACACUAUCUCAGAAGGCAGAGGUGCUAAAGGGAUAGACGGACAGAGGACAGGGUGCUGAGAGGAUGGCUUGGCGGUAAAGAGUACUGGUUACUCUUGCAGAGGACCCAACUUUGGCUCCCCACCCCCAAGUCAGACGUCUCACAACUGCCUAUGGCUCCAAUUCUGGGGGUCCAAUGACUUCUGGACUCCAUGAAGCAAACGCAUGCAUGGCAUAUACGUGUACACACACACACACACACACACACACACACACACAAAAGUAAUGAAAAUUAAUCUUACUGGUGGACAUGAGUAAGAUCUGAGGAUGAAAGAAAGCCAGAGCUUUACCUGUCGUAGCAAGGAUAUUGGAGGCACCCCUCCAAAAACAAAACACCGCCCCGAAGGAACUAGGAAAACGUAGAUAGAGUACAGACACAGUCUUUAGCCCUGCAGAAUUGUGUUAGCGGAGGUCUCGUCUGUAGGUAUGCAGGUUACUUUUCAAUAGCUUGGGUAAGAACACAAGUCUGGCUGAGACUUCUUAAUUCUGUUACAGUAUUGAUUACGGCAGAAAAAAUGCAAAGUGUGCGAUUUAUGCAUGCCUUGGUGAAAUUAAAACCUCACCAUUUAUUGAAAGAGCAGUAAUUACUCUAACGAACUCAGGGCGCCCUGAGUAAAAUCAAGGAGUGGCACUCUCACUGGCUGUUGGAGAGAGAAACAGGAGCUGAGAGGAAGAAUCUGAAAAGAGCUAGCCUGUGUUCCCACGCUAACUCCCGCUUGGCCCCAGGGGCCAAGUGCAGAGUUGUGGAAGUGUGGGAGGGUGGUAGACAGGACUGGGACGGUUUCGAACAAACUGAUGCUGGCCACCCAUGCUGUCUUGCAGGGCUGCAGGGUCCCUCUCGGCUUUGCCUGCAGAUGCAUCCUAACCAAUGGCUGGAGUGCGGACGAGAUGGUUGAGCUGCACCAUCCUGGACCCUAGACAGACACCCUCACAGAGAGGCACCAGCAGGUUUUGUGUGAUUGCCAACAGGUGCCCUGUAUGCACAGAGACUGCAUCCUUGAGCCUAUCCAAGUCUACAGGAAGCAGGAAGACUACGCCAUUUGGAGGAAGACCCUGGAUUUCCGAGGAAAAGAUGAGUCUCAGAGCAUGGACCAAAGCCAGCGAGGAGGGGAGGAUCCUUUGGCUCUCUAGUUCUCACAUACUGAUCACCUUGGAGGCUGUGGGCUAUAACAGGGCCACACCCUCAUGGAGCAUGCAAUUCCUUCCCCCUCCUGCAUGGGAAGCCUGCCAGCCCCAAGAAUCCAUGCUGCGGCAGAACCCGAUUUGGCAUACAAUUUGACUUUUAUUUUAGAGGCUGUUUCUAGGAAAAUUUCAAGGACUCCUGAGACCUGAUAAUCUGGAUAUGGGCAUAGCACCGCCACCCCUAGCCCCGCCCCUGCGCAGCCUUUGUACAAGGCAGGGGCUGAAAGUCAACAUUGAUUUAGUGCUUGCUGUAUUAUAUGCCUGGCCUGAGAACUCUUUUAGUCGUUAUCCACAGCCCUACCCUGUCAGCAGCAGUACUUUUUUGGUUUUUGAUAGAGGCUAAAAGGAUGAGGCCUAAUGAUACAAGGAACGAGUGGUCAGAAAUCAGCCCAGGAUCCAUCUAGGACCAUAGUUUACAGUUAUGCGAUGCUCGGGGUUUGAAUCCCAAUUCCUUAACCUGCUUGCUGAGUGACCUUGGAUGAGUUCCUUGACUUCUCUGGGCCUCCCUUCCUUCCCUAGGACUGAGAAGCCUCCUCUGCAGAGCUCUGAUGAGGAAUUAUCAAUAACACAGGCGCUACGUGGGGCCCGCCAGCCAGGGCAGAAACACUCUGGGAGUUACUGUUUGUGACAGAGAGGCCUAUCAGACUGCUGACUGGGCACUUAGCUGUAAAAUCCAAUUACUCCGAAAUUCUCAGUAACUAAGACAGAGCCUAAAAUAAUAUCCCCACGGACGUUUUCAAAGCUUUGGGAUGAGGGUACCCAUCAGUGCACACACAUCCCACCCUGGGGACAGAGACCAAAACCCCUUAGCUAUUCAUCUGUCUGCUUUCUUGUCAGGGAGAAAAGGCACCUUCAAGGAACAGAGGCCCAGGGAUUCUGGUAUGCAGCACUCACAGAGGCAGGCAGAGCUUGGGAGGAACUAUCUCCUCCCAUCUACCAGGCUCCUCAGUGAGGAGACCUCACGACCUGUUGCAGGUGCCUAGUCAGAGAGGUACCUCUAUGCCUGUAGGUGAAGGGCGAGAGUGGCAUCUAAGUUCCAUCUAAAGCCCCCAAAGCCUGUGAUUGAUCCCUGCUGCACCGCAGAUCAUGCCUGAAGCACCAGCCUAGCCAUGGGAAGGCUGGGUACUAGGAUUCUCCCCCAAUCACUGGGCAGUUGAGGCAUGAGGGCGCUACCCAGCUUGUCCAAGCUUGAGGCUUAUGGAUAGAGACAGGGACAUUUUUAGAUGGGAUGGAAGUCUUGGGCCUGAAAAGUUUUGCUGUGGGGGUAUUUGGCAAGACCUGCCUAGAAGCAGGCCUGGAUGACCCAGCUUCUCAAAGCAGGUUCCGGAAGGCACUGUGUGGGUAGACCAGCAUCAGGAGAGGGAGUGGGACCUGGGGGCUACACGGCACAGUCAUCACCAGCCUUGCAGAUUGAUCCAUAUUGUUGUCUCUGUGGGGUCCACCAUCCCUGCCUGCGUAGCCUCCUCCAGCACUCCAAGGCCCCCACUUCUCUUCCCGGUGAAGAGCGUAAAGAUAGAAAAUAAAAUCAUCAAACUUGUCCUUUUCCCUUUUCAAAGAUGUCCCUGCUCUGCAGUUGCCAUGGUGACACCUGCCAGCUUUUCUGAAUUCAGAACUCGAAGCCCUCCAGUGGCCUUAGCAGCCUGCCCCCACUUCCUUCUCCUGCCCACCUUCCACUUAGCUCAGGCCCCACCCACUCCAGUCUGUCCCCAUCCAACUCCACCCCUUUUAGGCCUCACCGGAACUCCUUCCCGGCCCAGGUCCCACCCACCACUCUCCACGCCCCUUGUAUGCUCCACCUACCCCAGCUCCGUUUGCUAGCCUG